rnacentral:rRNA from 1 species
UACGGGGAGGGCAAGCGUUGUUCGGAAUUACUGGGCGUAAAGGGCUCGUAGGCGGCCAACUAAGUCAGACGUGAAAUCCCUCGGCUUAACCGGGGAACUGCGUCUGAUACUGGAUGGCUUGAGUUUGGGAGAGGGAUGCGGAAUUCCAGGUGUAGCGGUGAAAUGCGUAGAUAUCGGAAGGAACAUCAGUGGCGAAAGCGACUUCCUGGACCAAUACUGACGCUCAUGUGCGAAAGCGUGGGGAGCAAACAGGG